ACUUAUCUGUAUCUUAGUUGACCACUCUGUGGCAUUCAAUAUUAUUGACCAUGCCCUCUUUUCUUGGCAGACCUCUUCUUUUGAUCAACUCUUCCCUGGCAUGGCCAGCCACUACUACAAAUCUAUAAUCUAUUUCUGGGCAACCCCAUUUAGAAUUGCAGCUUUAAAUAUCAUAGAUACACAGAUGAUCCCUGAAUCUCUCUCUCUCGCCCUGACUUCUCACAGUUCCAGACUUGGCCAUUUGCCUGUUUGACAUGUCUGCUCAGUUAUCUAGCAGGCAUCUCAAGAUAGAACUAAGGUAACCAUUUAAAUGUAUAAUGUAUUCCAAACUAGGAGACUGACAGUGGAAGAUAAAGUGCACCACUGAUAAUUAUGUCAGGACAGCAACCAAAAGAAAUUUUCCAAGGGUUUCCCAUCACACUUAGAAUGAGAUGCUGUUCCUCAGAUGGACAGGUGACACUCUUAACCUGUGCCACUCUCCCUGACACUCCUUCCUGACCCAACUACUACUGGCUACCAUUCUUUUUCUUGAACAAACAUUCCUGUUUAACUUUGGGUAGGUAAGUGACCCUUUUUGUGCCUGUGUCUCCUCAUCUGUAGAACAGUAAAUGGUGGCAUUCAACCCUUAGGGUUCUGAAGCACAAUAUGCCAGGCACUUAAUAGUUGCUGCACAGGAGUAUCUUUCACUACCCUAAGGAACCUAACAGAUGUGGAUAGUGAGGAUUACUUGCAUUUGCUUAAUGAAUAAAGGUCUUUCAUUAUUUAAGACCAUGCACACAUAGGACACAGAUACUGGAGUGUUAAGGUCAACUGUGUAUUUGUUACAAAGUUCAAACUGCACAGCUGGAAGUGAGCCAGUCUUUAUCUGGGUAAUGUUUAUCUUGGAACAAGAUUUAGAAAUAGAAACUUGGAACGCUACUAAAAUCGGUACCAUCACACUCUUUCCCUUUCAGAGCCAGACCUGGAUUUUCAGUUUUCUAAAAAGCUGCUUACUUCAAAUGUAUGUUUGAACAGAAGUCAGAUCACAAUAAAUCUGGGCUCUGUCACUUGGCAGGCCUCUCUAAGCUUGUUUCCUCAUCUAUAAAAUGGGGAAAGUAAUCAGUGCACAUAAAGGAGUUCUAUGAGAGGAGAUGGUCAGUUUUAAACAAACCACACAAACCAACUGCCAGACUUCUCUCUGAGUGUUAACAGUGGUUGGACUGCAGACAAUUGCUUCUGGGCAACGUUCCAAAAUACUGGCAACAGUAGCUUCAUCGGCACCUAGUUGUUGUAAAACAUCUGCAACUUCUUCAACAUAGGUUUCAUCUUCAAAAAGGACCCAUCCUUUUAAUCUGCGAAUUUUCCUGAUGUCAACUGAAAAUUUAUAGAGUUUUUCCACUGUUCUUUUAUUUUCUUUGUUUGACUGAUGAUCAGUUGUAUAGGUGAAGGACGCUAAAGAGGGUCUGUAUUUUGAAGCCGACAGCAUCUUUCUGAAGGAACACAGCCUGCACAGCUGGGAUCUUAUCAGCAAUUUCCAUAGCAUGCUUGCACUCCAUUGGUGGCUUCCCACUAUCCUGGGACUCAGAAUGUACUCAUCAUACCUGUAACAAAGAACACAGGUUUUAAUAUAA